AUCCAUCUCUUGAAAGUUGGUCAUUUAUAUUCUUUGAGAUUCGAUGAAAAUUGCUCCGGUGGUCAUUCCGGAAGGCAUUGCUAGGAACGGAGUUGAUUCGUCAUAGUUAUUCAAAGUCAACUGAAUAGAAAGCUUCUAUCAGAGUUAAAGAUUUGUCAAUGUCACUCUUUUG